UCGGGAAUUUUGGGCAAUGGGCGAAAGCCUGACCCAGCAACGCCGCGUGAAGGAUGAAGUAUUUCGGUAUGUAAACUUCGUAAGAAUAGGAAGAAUAAAUGACGGUACUAUUUGUAAGGUCCGGCUAACUACGUGCCAGCAGCCGCGGUAAUACGUAGGGACCAAGCGUUGUUCGGAUUUACUGGGCGUAAAGGGCGCGUAGGCGGUGUGUCAAGUCAGUUGUGAAAUCUCCGAGCUUAACUCGGAACGGUCAACUGAUACUGUCACACUAGAGUACAGAAGGGGCAAUCGGAAUUCUUGGUGUAGCGGUGAAAUGCGUAGAUAUCAAGAGGAACACCUGAGGCGAAGGCGGGUUGCUGGGCUGAUACUGACGCUGAGGCGCGAAAGCUAGGGUAGCAAACGGGAUUAGAUACCCCGGUAGUCCCUGAGCGGGCUGGCAAGGCG
rnacentral:rRNA from 1 species